rnacentral:rRNA from 1 species
AUUGAACGCUGGCGGCAGGCCUAAUACAUGCAAGUCGAGCGGAGCGGCGGACGGGUGAGUAAUGCCUAGGAAUCUGCCUGGUAGUGGGGGACAAAGUCCGGGAACGGGCGAUAAUACCGCAUAAGAUCAGAUGAGCCUAGGUCGGAUUAGCUAGUUGGUGGGGUAAAGGCUUACCAAGGCGACGAUCCGUAACUGGUCUGAGAGGAUGAACAGUCACACUGGAACGGAGACACGGUCCAGACUCCUAGGGGAGGCAGAAGUGGGGAAUAUUGGACAAUGGGCGAAAGCCUGACCCAGCCAUGCCGAGUGAGUGAAGAAGGUCUUCGGAUUGUAAAGCACUGGAAGUUGGGAGGCGUUACCAACAGAAUAAGCACCGGCUAACUUCGUGCCAGCCGCCGCGGUAAUUC